GCCGCGCGGGGGGCGGGCGGCGCGGAGUAGGUGGCGGCGGCCAUGGCCGAGGCGUCGCCGCAUCCCGGACGGUACUUCUGCCACUGCUGCUCCGUGGAGAUCGUCCCGCGCCUGCCGGAUUAUAUCUGUCCAAGAUGCGAGUCUGGUUUUAUCGAGGAGCUUCCGGAAGAGACCAGGUAAUGCAGCCCCCUGUUGAAGAGGCUGGAAGAGCCAGCCGGGCCUCAGCUGUUGUAGGGGUGUGGGCUGUGCUGGCGUCCGCCCCGCCGAGUGUGGGGCCGUCAGGCCCUGGUGUCUGUGGCUCCGGGAGCACUUUUCUCUGUGCAGACAGCAGCGUGCCGUUCUCUUCUGUGAUGGCCGGGCCGGGGCCAGAGGGGAGUGCCGGCAACCUGUGCAGCCGCUCACCUCCCUCAGCCUCGGCGGCUAAUCUGGUGACCCAGGCCCUCCGGGGAAGGGGCCACGGGGGCCCUACCCACAUUCUCACGCUUAGGAGGCUGUUGGGGUCUGCACCGGUUUAUCGAGAAACCCGUGGUUUACUGGCGAGGGAAGCAGCAGCGGGUUACGGCACCAAAUGCUGGGGCGGUGGCGGGUGGGAAGCAGUGCCAAGGACAAUUCCUGCUCUCCCAACAUAGGCUUUUGAGGGGAGG
rnacentral:lncRNA from 1 species